ACCCGCUGAACUUAAGCAUAUCACUAAGCGGAGGAAAAGAAACUAACUAGGAUUCCCCCAGUAACUGCGAGUGAAGAGGGAAGAGCUCAUCAUUGGAAUCUGGCAGCGUUGCGCUGUCCGAGUUGUAGAUGAGAAGAGUAGGACAUCUGGACUGCAUGGUGUCCAAGUACAAUAGGCCGUCAGUGGGACAUCAUAGAGGGUGACAAUCCCGUCCUUGACACCAAUGUACGAGUCCUUUACGAUGCCUAUCUCGGAGAGUCGAGCAGUUUGGGAUUUGCUGCUUAAACACGGGAGGUAGAUUCCUUCCAAAGCUAAAUACAGGCAAGAGACCGAUAGUGAACAAGUACCGCAAGGGAAAGAUGAAAUAGAACUCUGUGAAGGGAGUCAAAAAGACGUGAAAUUGUUGCGAGAGAAGCGAUUCAAGUCAGCGUAGCUGGGCCCAUCAAGCCUCGCGCUUUGGACCAGCUUUGCCAGCGGUCUUGUCCCUAGAGACUUGACUAAGGUGCCCUGCCCGGUCUAACGGACAGACCUCCCCUCUGGGGAGGCCAGUGGCAUGGCUGGUGGAAUGGCUUGCAAUCGACCCGUCUUGAAACACGGACCAAGGAGUCUAACAUGUACGCGAGUAUAAGGGUGGCAAACCCGUAUGCGCAAAGAAAGUGAUAGCCUAUGGCUGAGAAUGACCUGACGACCUGACAAGAAAUAUCAUGUCCCUCGUACGGUCAUUGCCCAAGUCCCAUGGUCAGAUCCCAUGGACAUGGAGUUGGAGCGUGCAUGCUAGGACCCGAAAGAUGGUGAACUAUGCCUGGACAAAGCGAAGCCAAAGGAAACUCUGGUGGAGGCUUGUAGCGAUUCUGACGUGCAAAUCGAUCGUCUGAUCUGGGUAUAGGGGCGAAAGACUAAUCGAACC
rnacentral:rRNA from 1 species